AGCCUUUGCUCUGAAUUUUCUUAAUUUCUUGCUUGCUUGGAUUUUAUUCUGGUGUUCAAGCUGUCUCAUUUGAGGGCUCAUCUGGGAUGGAAGCAAGACCCCCGACUCAAUUCUGAACACCUAAAAACCUUUAUAAUUGGAAAACCGAGGACCCUCCUUUUUCAAAGGAUCCUGAAACUCUGAUUGACCUUUUAGAAUCUGUAUUCUCUGCUCAUCGCCCCACCUGGGAUGACUGCCAACAGAUCCUGCACAUGCUCUUCAGAGCUGAAGAGAGACUGCGCAUCUAAACCUGACUGGGACCCCAACACGGAUGGAGAUAAGAGGGCUCACGAUGAUUAUCACCUGAGGCUUCUAGAUGUGCUCCACGAAGCUGCCAAGAAGCCCACCAACUUGUCCUGAGUGGCUGAUGAAUCUCCUGCUAUGUUCUUAGAGCACCUCCUAGAAACAUAUAGAUUGCAUACCCCAAUUAAUCCUAUGGCACCUGAGAAUGCACAAACAAUUAAUAUUGCUUUCAUGUCCCAGUCAGCUCCCAAUGUUAGAAGAAAAUUACAAAAGCUAGGGGGCUGGGGAUUUAGCUCAGCGGCAUAAGCACCUGCCUUGCAAGCAGGCAGUCGUGAGUUCAAUCCCUGGUACCGGAUAAAAGGAAAGAGACAAAAAAAAAAAAAAAAGAAAAUUACAAAAGCUUAAGGAAUUUGAGGGAAUGCCCCUCAGCCAGUUGAUAGAGAUAGCACAAAAGUUUUUUGAAAAUAGAGAAAAUUUACAAGAAGCCACCAACAAGAAAAUGACCAAAGUGUUAGAAUUACUCCGUGAAAGAGAAACUAAAAAGCCGGCCAAUACCAAUAAAAAGGAAGCCCAGGGACAACGACCUCCUUUAGAUAAGGAACAGUGUGCACAUUGCAAAGAGAUAGGACAUUGGUGAAAGGAUUGCCCAAAGUUAAAGGCUAACCUUGAGAGAGAAGCAAAGGCUUUGUUGUCUCAGCAAUGAGGAGGUCAGGGCUCAUUGCUGCCCCCCCAGCCCCGGAUAACUCUUCAAGUGGGGGGACACCCGGUGGACUUCCUGGUGGACACAGGAGCCACCUAUUCUGUACUAACCCAACUCUUGGGAAAAUUGACCAAAGACUCAGUUAAUGUACUAGGAGCCACAGGGGGAUGAAGAUCACAGCCAAAGGUAACCACCAGUUUAGCUCGACCAGGCCACAAGUUGGUCCACCAUGAUUUUCUAUGGGUACCAUAGUGUCCAGACCCCCUCCUAGGAUGAGACCUCCUUCAUAAAUUGCAAGUGCAAGUUGAUUUCUUGACAAAUGAGCUGAGACUAAGAUUGGGAACGGGCUCAACCCAAGGUCCUGAAAAGAGCAUUAGAGUUUUAGCCCUUGUCCCAGAAGGAGAAAAUUACUGCCUGCUGGAAAAUUUGUCCGAUUCACCUAAGCUGCCACCUAUGGACUUAGAACUAAAAUUAUUAAAGAAAUGGAGACAAGAAAUCCCAGAGGUCUCAUCCCAAGACUGGUGGUCAACCAAGUGCCCCUUGUAGUAGAGCUCCUACCCCAGGCGUGUCCUGUUUGUUUGUGUCAAUAUCCAAUAAGUCUCCAAGCCCGAAAGGGAAUUAAAGUUCACAUACAGAGACUAAG